rnacentral:lncRNA from 1 species
UGUACGGGGUUGUGGCCCAACAUGCUGGGGAUGAUUGCUGGUUCCCUGUUGCUUCAACUAGGGAUUGGCAUUACUGACCAGAUCUGAUGUGCAAGCCGAAUCUGUGAGGAUAUUGGUGUUGGAGUUAUCACCAAAUUCAUGUGUUCUUGAUAAUAACUUGAUACUGAAGGGGUAUCUCUUAUGCGUAAGAGAUUUGUGGGGAUAAAGCUUGAUCUUUUUGAGGAUGUGUAUAACAUAUUCCAUCAUCUAUCCUCUUUGAUAAUGUUGACCUCUCUUGGUUAGUAUCGCCAUAAUAUGUCAUGAUUCUGUUGGAUUUACUGCCAACAGCAAAUGCUGUCAGGGAUGCCUGACCAUCAUUGACGUGUGAAUCAACGGAGGAAGCAUACUGUGG